GAUGAAGAACGUAGCGAAAUGCGAAAAGUAAUGUGAAUUGCAGAAUUCAGUGAAUCAUCGAAUCUUUGAACGCACAUUGCGCCCGCCAGUAUUCUGGCGGGCAUGCCUGUCUGAGCGUCAUUUCAACCCUCACGCCCCUAGGGCGUGGUGUUGGGGAUCGGCCAGCGCCCGCGAGGCCAAGGCCGUCCCCCAAAUCUAGUGGCGGACCCGUCGUGGCCUCCCCUGCGAAGUAGUGAUAUUCCGCAUAGGAGAGCGACGAGCCCCUGCCGUUAAACCCCCAACUUUCUCAGGUUGACCUCAGAUCAGGUAGGAAUACCCGCUGAACUUAAGCAUAUCAAUAAGCGGAGGA
rnacentral:misc_RNA from 1 species